UACGUAGGGUGCGAGCGUUGUCCGGAAUUACUGGGCGUAAAGAGCUCGUAGGUGGUUUGUCGCGUUUGUUCGUGAAAACCGGGGCUCAACUCCGGGCUUGCGGGCGAUACGGGCAGGCUAGAGUUCGGUAGGGGAGACUGGAAUUCCUGGUGUAGCGGUGAAAUGCGCAGAUAUCAGGAGGAACACCGGUGGCGAAGGCGGGUCUCUGGGCCGAUACUGACGCUGAGGAGCGAAAGCGUGGGGAGCGAACAGGA
rnacentral:rRNA from 1 species